UUGAAAAAUUAUGUGUGUUCACAGCAACUAUGGGAAUUCACUGAGGAAUUUGAAUAUCAGACUUCACGCCGAUAUGAAUUCUCAUCAGUAGACGGAUAUAAAGUUUACACUUUCAGUGACAUGACGUCUGCAUUUGUGAGACGGAACGAGUCACAAGUUGAUGACUUCUUCCUGCAACCGACUCGCAUAUUAACUAUUCCUGGUAGUGAAGUGCCAUCAUGGUUUCACAAUCAAAGCUAUUUU